UUUUACCAGCGUGGUUCGGGCUAGUGAAAAUAGUUCGCAGGACGAGCGGUAUCCAAGAAUUAUGCGGGUUCAUCGAUUAGUGGACGCAGAGGCAACAGCAAGUUUCCAUAACUGCAUCCCUUCUCCCGGUGACACGCUAUAUUUGCGCUUGCUCAUCCGGGUGCUUGGUCAAACAAUAAAUAUGCGUGACUUAAGCUCACUUUGCAUGUUGCACGGAGCGGGUUGCGUGGACCCGGGAACGAGGCUGCACACGUGCAUCAGAGACUGAAUCCGUGCGUCUCCCCGUAGCCUGAUAAUCGAGCCAGGGUUAUGCAUGCGGAUUACGUAGCUUCCAGACGCGUAUCAAACGCGUGCCAAACUCGUUAUUUCGAAAUUGCGAAUCUUCCACAAUAUAAAGGACGAAUUAUUCAUUGUUCGAUAUUCUAUGCGGCUCGUGUGUCCCGAACGUGUUCUUAAAAAUCUUUCCCCACUCAGCAUGUUACAUCGAGGGUCAGAUCUUCAGCUUUUAUCCAAGCAAAAUAAAAUGCCACGCGUUACAAAGCACGGUUAUGAUUUUCCUUAUAUUUCGGCCGUACGACC